rnacentral:rRNA from 1 species
AGCGGUAGCAUGGUUAGUAGCAAUACUAACUGAUGACGAGCGGCGGACGGGUGAGUAACACGUAGGAAUCUACCCUUGAGCGGGGGAUAACCAAGGGAAACUUUGGCUAAUACCGCAUGAACUCGAGAGAGUAAAGUUACCCUUUUAGGGCGACACUUGAGGAGGAGCCUGCGUCCGAUUAGCUAGUUGGUAAGGUAAAAGCUUACCAAGGCGAUGAUCGGUAACUGGUCUGAGAGGACGACCAGUCACACUGGGACUGAGACACGGCCCAGACUCCUACGGGAGGCAGCAGUGGGGAAUAUUGGACAAUGGGGGCAACCCUGAUCCAGCGAUGCCGCGUGAGUGAAGAAGGCCUUCGGGUCGUAAAGCUCUUUAGGUUGGGAAGAAGGGUAUGUGGUGCAUAGCCACGUACUUUGACGGUACCGACAGAAUAAGCACCGGCAAACUCUGUGCCAGCAGCCGCGGUAAUACAGAGGGUGCGAGCGUUAAUCGGAGUAACUGGGCGUAAAGGGCGCGUAGGCGGUGAGAUGUGUGUGAUGUGAAAGCCCCGGGCUUAACCUGGGAAGUGCAUCGCAAACUAUCUGACUAGAGUAUAUGAGAGGGUGGCGGAAUUUCCGGUGUAGCGGUGAAAUGCGUAGAGAUCGGAAGGAACGUCAAUGGCGAAGGCAGCCACCUGGCAUAAUACUGACGCUGAGGCGCGAAAGCGUGGGGAGCGAACAGGAUUAGAUACCCUGGUAGUCCACGCUGUAAACGAUGAGUACU